AUUGAACGCUGGCGGCAUGCCUUACACAUGCAAGUCGAGCGGAGCGGCGGACGGGUGAGUAAUGCCUAGGAAUCUGCCUGGGAGUGGGGGAUAACGUCCGGAAACGGGAGCUAAUACCGCAUACUAGCAGAUGAGCCAAGGUCGGAUUAGCUAGUUGGUUGGGUAAAGGCAUACAAAGGCGACGAUCCGGAACUGGGCUGAGAGGAUGAACAGUCACACUGGAACUGAGACACGGUCCAGACUCCUACGGGAGGCAGCAGUGGGGAAUAUUGGACAAUGGGCGAAAGCCUGAUCCAGCCAUGCCGCGUGUGUGAAGAAGGUCUUCGGAUUGUAAAGCACUUUAAGUUGGGAGGCGGUACCAACAGAAUAAGCACCGGCUAACUUCGUGCCAGCAGCCGCGGUAAUUC
rnacentral:rRNA from 1 species